GGGCCGGUAGCUGAACUGGAAGCCUGCCAGGGCGAACAGCACCGGAUUCGUAAUCCGGAGAAUGUGGGUUCGAGUCCCACCCGGCCCA
rnacentral:tRNA from 1 species